CCUACGGGGGGCAGCAGUGGGGAAUAUUGGACAAUGGGCGAAAGCCUGAUCCAGCCAUGCCGCGUGUGUGAAGAAGGCCUUCGGGUUGUAAAGCACUUUCAGUGGGGAAGAAAGCCUUGGGGCUAAUACCCUCGAGGAAGGACAUCACCCACAGAAGAAGCACCGGCUAACUCCGUGCCAGCAGCCGCGGUAAUACGGAGGGUGCGAGCGUUAAUCGGAAUUACUGGGCGUAAAGCGCGCGUAGGCGGUCUGAUAAGCCAGUUGUGAAAGCCCCGGGCUCAACCUGGGAACGGCAUCCGGAACUGUCAGGCUAGAGUGCAGGAGAGGAAGGUAGAAUUCCCGGUGUAGCGGUGAAAUGCGUAGAGAUCGGGAGGAAUACCAGUGGCGAAGGCGGCCUUCUGGACUGACACUGACGCUGAGGUGCGAAAGCGUGGGUAGCAAACAGGAUAAGAGACCCCUGUAGUC
rnacentral:rRNA from 1 species